rnacentral:lncRNA from 1 species
AUACAAUAUUCCUGGUUUGCAUUGUGCCUUGUAUUUCUCAAAGAUCUUUCAGGAAAAGACAGGCUCCUCUUAUUCUUCCUGUGUCCUCUUCUGCUUCUCUAGAGCAUAGAGCUGGAAGCUAGUUAGAUGUUAUUAAUGCAGGAAUUAAUUCAACAUACCAUGGACACAAUUAAAAUAGUAGAAGAAACUCAGGACUCACUUAGGUAAGGGAAUAAACUAUCUGGUCUAAAUUGGUAUAUAAUAUGUGCCAUGUAUCUCAAACUGGGUCACAGAAAGCUUUAGGAAUCUGCAGGCUCACUGUUGUGGAUGAACAUGUGCCAGAUGAAGUCUUCAGGGAAACCAGGAAGAAGAAAAACCCUUUAAAGUGGCCAGGAAAUCACAAGUUUUCCUGAACAAGAAUGAAAACUUACAAUGCCAGUAACGUGGUGGCAGACUUCCAUCCACAGAGCUCAGGACUUCAAGGCUGUCUGGAGAGGCAGGUGCCCAGGAGGAGCCCAGAAGCUGCUGACACUCCCAGGGUGGCAAAAGACCCUCAUUGGCAGAGAGAGCAAAACCAACCUAUCACCUUUCAUUGCUGAUAAGAAAGUGGAGAAAAACAUGCAAGGAUUGCCUUCUUUUUAAUAUGUCUAAAGGCCUCCAAAUAAGAGGUAAAAGCCAGGUGCAUCAUAGGUGACCCACACUUGCUGCAAUUGCUGAGCAAUUCUGAUCCCCAGAUACCUGAGGAGAGUGUCACAGUGUGUUUGGUAACUGUGCAGUUUGGGAAUGUCAGUGCACCUUCAAUUUUAAGUUGUCUUUUCUUUUAAAUAGUGAAAUACUUCUAGGAAUAGGGCCAUACACAAGAAAUUCUGACCUUGAUUUUCUAAUGCUCCUUUGUUGGCUGUUGCAGACCUGAGUUCUUCUCUGCUUCUCUGUCUGGCCACUCUGAUGGAAGG